rnacentral:rRNA from 1 species
GUAGGGGGGGCAAGCGUUGUUCGGAUUUACUGGGCGUAAAGCGUGCGUAGGGCGGUUUGGAAAGUCUGACGUGAAAUCUGCACGGCUCAACCGGCAGUUGUCGUUGGAAACUUCCAGGCUAGAGGACGGAAGAGGAGAGUGGAAUUCCAGGUGUAGCGGUGGAAUGCGCAGAUAUCUGGAAGAACACCAGUGGCGAAGGCGGCUCUCUGGUCCGUUUCUGACGCUGAGGCACGAAAGCUAGGGGAGCGAACGGGAUUAGAUACCCCGGUAGUCCUAGCCGUAAACGGUGAGCACUAGGUGUGGGGGGUAUCGACCCCCUCCGUGCCGCAGCUAACGCAUUAAGUGCUCCGCCUGGGGAGUACGACCGCAAGGUUG